rnacentral:rRNA from 1 species
UACGGGGGGGGCAAGCGUUAUCCGGAUUCACUGGGUUUAAAGGGUGCGUAGGAGGGUAGGUAAGUCAGUGGUGAAAUCUUCGAGCUUAACUCGGAACUGCCGUUGAUACUAUCUAUCUUGAAUACCGUGGAGGUGAGCGGAAUAUGUCAUGUAGCGGUGAAAUGCUUAGAUAUGACAUAGAACACCAAUUGCGAAGGCAGCUCGCUACACGAAUAUUGACUCUGAGGCACGAAAGCGUGGGGAUCAAACAGG